GAGAAUUCUUGAGAAAGAAUUCAACUACAAAUCUACCAAGGUUCCAACGAGGCCCCACACUGUCACUCGGAGCAUUAGUCGAAGUUGGAGUCAAUCCAAAAGCAUUAACAAAAACAAAUCUAGAGGUAAUUGGAACGUAGAUUGAGGGGUCCACUGGUGUUCACCCUUAGUAGGUAUCAUGGCAUUCAAUAGCCGUAUCCCCCAUCCAAAGUCACUCCGCUAGUCGUCAGAAGUCUUUUGCAUGUGCAUAUGUACAUUAGAUGUGAAGUGAUAAGAUCAUUUUGCAAACGAUAUAUGUAUAUUCUGAUUUAUGAUGCCAUUAUGAGAUGGCAAUGAAUGACAAUACUUUGGGAUAUUACAAAUAUAACUAUUUGGUUGCUAUGUUUCAUUACCGGAAUACGUAUA